CCUCGGGGGGCUGCAGUGGGGAAUAUUGGACAAUGGGCGCAAGCCUGAUCCAGCAAUGCCGCGUGUGUGAAGAAGGCCUUAGGGUUGUAAAGCACUUUCAGCAAUGAAGAAGUUGUAUUGGCUAAUAUCCAAUAUAAUUGACGUUAGUUGCAGAAGAAGUACUGGCUAACUCUGUGCCAGCAGCCGCGGUAAUACAGAGAGGGCAAACUUUAAUCGGAGUUAUUGGACGUAAAGAAUAUAUAGAUUGGUGAAAUCCCUGGGCGUAACCUAGGAAUUGCAUUUAAUACUUUUUAUCUAGAGUAUUGUAGGGGGAAGUGGAAUUUCCGGUGUAGCGGUGAAAUGCGUAGAUAUCGGAAGGAACACCAGUGGCGAAGGCGACUUCCUGGACAAAUACUGACACUGAGACACGAAAGCGUGGGGAGCAAACAGGAUUAGAUACCCUAGUAGUC
rnacentral:rRNA from 1 species